UAUCCAACCUGCCUUCAGCUCGGGGAUAGCCCUCUGAAAGGAGGAUUAAUACCCGAUGUGUUUGCAGUCCGGCAUCGGGCCGCAAUCAAAGAUUUAUCGGCUGUAGAUGGGGAUGCGUCUGAUUAGGUGUUGGCGGGUAACGGCCACCAAGCCACCGAUCAGUAGGGGUUCUGAGAGGAAGGUCCCCCACAUAGGAACUGAGACACGGUCCUAACUCCUACGGGAGGCAGCAGUGAGGAAUAUUGGUCAAUGGUCGAGAGACUGAACCAGCCAAGUAGCGUGAAAGGAUGACUGCCCUACGGGUUGUAAACUUCUUUUAUGCGGGAAUAAAGUUCGCCACGUGUGGCGUUUUGUAUGUACCGCAUGAAUAAGCAUCGGCUAAUUCCGUGCCAGCCGCUGC
rnacentral:rRNA from 1 species